AUUGCAGAAUUCCGCGAAUCAUCGAGUCUUUGAACGCAAGUUGCGCCCGAGGCUUGUCCAAGGGCAUUUCCGCUAGAGCGUC
rnacentral:rRNA from 1 species